rnacentral:tRNA from 1 species
GCCUGGCUGGCUCAGUCGGUAGAGCACGGGACUCAAUCUCAGGUUUAUGAGUUCAAGCCUCACGCUGUGCA